rnacentral:tRNA from 1 species
UAGCUCAGCGGCACAGCACCUGCCUGGCAAGCAUGAGGUCCUGAGUUCAAUUCCCAG